AUGAACGCUGGCGGCGUGCCUAAUACAUGCAAGUCGAGCGAACGGACGAGAAGCUUGCAUCUCUGAUGUUAGCGGCGGACGGGUGAGUAACACGUGGAUAACCUACCUAUAAGACUGGGAUAACUUCGGGAAACCGGAGCUAAUACCGGAUAAUAUUUUGAACCGCAUGGUUCAAAAGUGAAAGACGGUCUUGCUGUCACUUAUAGAUGGAUCCGCGCUGCAUUAGCUAGUUGGUAAGGUAACGGCUUACCAAGGCAACGAUGCAUAGCCGACCUGAGAGGGUGAUCGGCCACACUGGAACUGAGACACGGUCCAGACUCCUACGGGAGGCAGCAGUAGGGAAUCUUCCGCAAUGGGCGAAAGCCUGACGGAGCAACGCCGCGUGAGUGAUGAAGGUCUUCGGAUCGUAAAACUCUGUUAUUAGGGAAGAACAUAUGUGUAAGUAACUGUGCACAUCUUGACGGUACCUAAUCAGAAAGCCACGGCUAACUACGUG
rnacentral:rRNA from 1 species